rnacentral:rRNA from 1 species
AACGAACGCUGGCGGCGUGCCUAACACAUGCAAGUCGAGCGCGAAUGGAGCAAUCCUAGUAGAGCGGUGCACGGGUGCGUAACACGUGGGUAAUCUGCCUCAAAGCCCGGGAUAACCUGCCGAAAGGCAAGCUAAUACCGGAUAAGCCUACGGACUCUUCGGGGUCUGAAGGAAAAGGUGGCCUCUGUAUACAAGCUAUCACUUUGAGAUGAGCCCGCGGCCCAUCAGCUCGUU